CACCAGUGAGGAAUAUUGCNCAAUGGACGAAAGUCUGACGCAGCCAUACCGCGUGAAGGAUNACGGCGCUACGCGUUGUAAACUUCUUUUAUAUACCAAGAAACCUUCGGANGUGUCCGAAGCUGACGGUAGUAUAUGAAUAAGCACCGGCUAACUCCGUGCCAGCAGCCGCGGUAAUACGGAGGGNGCAAGCGUUAUCCGGAUUUAUUGGGUUUAAAGGGUCCGUAGGCGGAUCAUUAAGUCAGUGGUGAAAUCCGACAGCUCAACUGUCGAACUGCCAUUGAUACUGNUGAUCUUGAGUACGGNUGAAGUAGGCGGAAUAUGACAUNUAGCGGUGAAAUNCUUAGAUAUGUCAUNGAACACCGAUUGCGAAGNCAGCNUACUAANCCGUUACUGACNCUGAGGGACGAAAGUGUGGGGAGCGNACAGGAUUAGAUACCCUGGUAGUCCACACCGUAAACGAUGAUUACUCGGUAUUGGCUUUAUUGUCAGUGCCCCAAGCGAAAGUGAUAAGUAAUCCACCUGGGGAGUACG
rnacentral:rRNA from 1 species